AUGGCUCAUCUGAUAAUGGAACAUCGACAUGUCAGGUUUCCAAAUGAAUAUUUUGUGAGGGGCCUACACCUGAGCCGGAGGGAUUUGACAGUUCAAGCUUGUCUUUUCAACAGGACCGGAGAAAAUCAAACUAAAAAUUACAUCUUCAAUGAUGUCCCGUCUUAUCCUCAGCCUGAGUUUCAUGUGUCUCAUCUGAAACACGACACACAUCUUACUGCAUUUAUGAAGAUCCAGGAGGAUGGUGGCUUCAGGAACCCAAACAUAACCGAGGACAGACCACCUCUGGUGUGGUGGAGUCUGAAUCUGAGACCUGAGGACAUCACAUCAGCCGAGGCCAGGUUCCUGCAGAACAAGUACCCAGACCUGAUUACGCCUCAGGCCCAGGCUGAAGCCAGGUUCCUGGAACACUUUGCCACCUCUCCUGCCUUCCUGAAGACAUCCAGGCUGGGUUCUUACCGUUUCACUGUCUCAGUGGAGGAUGUGUUGAACGCCUACAGCCAGCAGUUCUGCUCAGGUGCUGCUCCGGUUCUGCGGGCGUUUGAGACCAUCCUGUACAAAAAAGAAGUGAUGUACGUGGUUCUGGUCCACAGCCCGGACCAUCAGCAGUAUGAGGACUACCCUCUCCUAGGGGACGACCCGGGCACCGUCUGUUACUACAGAGAUGGACAGUUCAUCUGGACGGCUCAGGCCAUGUGUAGUACACACAGAUACGAGCUGGUCAAGAUACCUGAGGAGAACCAGUUCAGGGCUGAUAAACUGAACCGCGGAAUUUACUACAUCUGGGAUAACGUCGCCAUUGCUCUGCACAUGGAAAAAGAUCAAGUGCUGAAGUUUGAUCCUGACAAACUGAGUGUGACACCGUGUGAGCAGGACGAGAUUGUGUAUCGUGACAACUUUGACUCUUUGAAGGAAGCUGAGGGUCAUAUUAAAAGAAGUCCAUGGCGUCUCCUCAAAAGACCUGGUCCUGGUCCUGGAGAUGUUAUAAAACCCCGGUCUUGGUCCUUAGCCUUAAUGUCUCAGUAA
rnacentral:lncRNA from 1 species